rnacentral:lncRNA from 1 species
GUCUGAGAAUAGGCUAGAUACAUGGAUGGAGAGCCAGUGCUUCAGCAUGAAAACCACCUGUCCUGGAAAGGAAGUCUUCCACUUAUGGUUCCUCUGAGCCUAGGAUAUGCUUAUCUUUACUGUUUCUUUGAGGGGUUGUGCAGAAGGAAUUUUUAGCUGACCUGCCAGUGCUGAAUAAUCCUAUGCAGAUUCUUCUGCUGUUUCCAUUAAUUUAGAAGUGCUCAUCACGGUGAAUGUUAUGUGACUACCAAAGGGCUCUCUAAGGUCUAAUUCAUUAUUUUACAGUGGUUAUCAAUUCUUAGUGCUUUGGAAGAAACUAAUUUGCAAAUAGUUAGCACUUCAUUUAAAUAUAAAUUACUUCAGCAGUUAUAAAUUCCAGCUCAAAACCACAAAAUGUUCCAGUAAUAAUGAACUGACCCUUCUCCAAUGCAGAAGAGCAUGCAGAAGUGUCUGCCCAAGAAGUUCAAACUUCUGAGAUGUGUAUGGUCAGCCAGCAGCAAAUGUGUCCCGUGCUUAGGUGAUGUUGUAGACAUCAGCAUGCAGUUGUUAGCGGUGGGGCCAGGCUCAGACCUUACCAGCUCUACCCAGUUUGAGGGGAGAAGGGCUUUGCAUUAGACUUAGCUGGCCAAAUGACUCAAGGUCUUUCAGUGCUGCUUGAGUGCAGUGAAGAGGAAGUGAGGAGGAAAGGGACUCAUUUUCUCUUUGUCCUGGGACCACACCGUUUCUUCUUGGUUUUGAAUGUGUGAGGGACUGACAAGGCAACUGCAGUUGAGGGUCCUGACGUCCCUAGACCCUUACAUGGGCCAAGCUCUGCAGCUGGCCGGUGUCUCCUGCUGCGUUGCUUGCUCUGCCGUGCGCAGGCUGAAGUGGUGCCUCUGUGGUUCAGCAGCUCGCAUUGGGUGCUGGGGAGAAGCAGCGUCCAGGCAGAGAUCGCAGCCUGUGGAGAGGAUGACAGAAGAGAAUGACAAAGUCCCGGUUUGUCCCUGGGGGUCAGUGCUGAUCGGACACAAACACAUCUCUG